AGAAGAUGAAGAUACAAGCUGGUGAUGAUCCAGAGCAGCUGGUCUCAGGAAAUGAAAUAAAACCCUGAUCACCUUUUCCACAGAAACAAGAUCUCUGCAGAUCCUGAAGUCGAACUCCCAGUGACCCCAUGCAUCCUAAUCAGAGGUGACCAGCAAUUCAAGAUUGCUGUUGAUGGGUUACUUGUCAAUGACCACAUCACCUCUCCCAUUGUGGCCUUGAGCUAC